GACGAACGCUGGCGGCGUGCUUAACACAUGCAAGUCGAACGGAAAGGCCCUGCUUUUGUGGGGUGCUCGAGUGGCGAACGGGUGAGUAACACGUGAGUAACCUGCCCUUGACUUUGGGAUAACUUCAGGAAACUGGGGCUAAUACCGGAUAGGAGCUCCUGCUGCAUGGUGGGGGUUGGAAAGUUUCGGCGGUUGGGGAUGGACUCGCGGCUUAUCAGCUUGUUGGUGGGGUAGUGGCUUACCAAGGCUUUGACGGGUAGCCGGCCUGAGAGGGUGACCGGCCACAUUGGGACUGAGAUACGGCCCAGACUCCUACGGGAGGCAGCAGUGGGGAAUAGUGCACGAUGGGCGGAAGCCGGAUGCAGCAACGCCGCGUGCGGGAUGACGGCCUUCGGGUUGGAAACCGCUUUCGCCUGUGACGAAGCGUGAGUGACGGUAAUGGGUAAAGAAGCACCGGCUAACUACGUG
rnacentral:rRNA from 1 species